GCUCCGGUGACCUAGUGGUUAGAAUGUCUGCCUUGGAUGCGGGAGGUCGUGGGUUAGAUCCCUGGUCGAGUCA